rnacentral:rRNA from 1 species
GACGAACGCUGGCGGCGUGCUUAACACAUGCAAGUCGAACGGAAAGGCCCUGCUUUUGUGGGGUGCUCGAGUGGCGAACGGGUGAGUAACACGUGAGUAACCUGCCCUUGACUUUGGGAUAACUUCAGGAAACUGGGGCUAAUACCGGAUAGGAGCUCCUGCUGCAUGGUGGGGGUUGGAAAGUUUCGGCGGUUGGGGAUGGACUGGCGGCUUAUCAGCUUGUUGGUGGGGUAGUGGCUUACCAAGGCUUGGAGGGGUAGCCGGCCUGAGAGGGGGACCGGCCACAUUGGGCCUGAGAUACGGCCCAGACUCCAACCGGAGGCAGCAGUGGGGAAUAUUGCACAAUGGGCGGGAGCCUGAUGUAGCAACGCCGCGUGCGGGAUGACGGCCUUCGGGUUGUAAACCGAUUUCGCCUGAGCCGAGGCGUUAGUGACGGUACUGGGUAAAGAAGCACCGGCUAACUACGUG